CUGUAGUGCUGGGGAAGGACGUCCUGUAUUUAUCCACAGAACAGGUAGGUGCAGGCAAAAGCAGUGCAAGCACCCCCACCCCACUGCCUUCCCACGAGCUCCCUCAAUCCUGGCUUGAGCAAGAGGGGAGUUCAGUGCUAUGGCCCAUUCACUCCCUGACUUCU
rnacentral:sRNA from 1 species